rnacentral:rRNA from 1 species
GACGAACGCUGGCGGCGUGCCUAAUACAUGCAAGUUGAGCGCUGAAGGUUGGUACUUGUACCAACUGGAUGAGCAGCGAACGGGUGAGUAACGCGUGGGGAAUCUGCCUUUGAGCGGGGGACAACAUUUGGAAACGAAUGCUAAUACCGCAUAAAAACUUUAAACACAAGUUUUAAGUUUGAAAGAUGCAAUUGCAUCACUCAAAGUUGAUCCCGCGUUGUAUUAGCUAGUUGGUGAGGUAAAGGCUCACCAAGGCGAUGAUACAUAGCCGACCUGAGAGGGUGGUCGGCCACAUUGGGACUGAGACACGGCCCAAACUCCUACGGGAGGCAGCAGUAGGGAAUUUUCGGCAAUGGACGAAAGUCUGACCGAGCAACGCCGCGUGAGUGAAGAAGGUUUUCGGAUCGUAAAACUCUGUUGGUAGAGAAGAACGUUGGUGAGAGUGGAAAGCUCAUCAAGUGACGGUAACUACCCAGAAAGGGACGGCUAACUACGUG